GGGGAUUUGGCGCAGUGGUAGCGCGUACGCUUUGCACGUCCAGUAAAAUAUGCGUAAUGUCGUGGGUUCAAUCCCCACAGUCUCCA